rnacentral:lncRNA from 1 species
CUUCAUUUUGUUUCUGGCCUAAGAGCUCCUAAAGCUCUUGUAAUUUCCCAUAUUAGAGCCAACGUGGCAUCUUUUGUUAUAAUAAUUACUUUAGUCCUCAGUUCCUGAAAUAAGUCCAGAGCCAUAAAGGUGAAAUGAGCGUAUUUUGUUAUUCCUAACAGGGCCCUUUCAACCACACCUGAAUUUACAUUAACAAGGUGACAUUUGGAAAGCCCCUGAGAGUAGGGGCUGGUUGCCAGGGAAACCAAUUGUGUGAUUUGGGGUUUGGAACUUUCAGCCCCAUCCCUCUCCCUAUACCUCCAGGGUGGGGAAAGAGGCUGAAGAUUGAGUUCGAUUGCCAUUGGCAAAUGAUCCAAUCAACUGUGCCUAUGGGGUGGUGUCUCCACUAAAACCCAAAAGGACGGUGUUCAGAGAGCUUCUGGGUUGGUGAACACAUAGAGAUUGGGGGAGAGUCCCCAAGAGGGUGUAGGAGCUCAGCGUCCCUUCCCCACAUAUUUUGCCUAUGCAUCUCUUCCAUCUGGCUGUUAGGUAAAAUGUUUAUCUGAGUCUGUGAGCCACUCUAUCAAAUUAAUCAACCCCAAGGAGGGGGUUGUGGGAACCUCUGGUCUGCGGUUGGUUGGUCAGAAGCACAGGUGACAACCUGAACUUGCAAUUGGCAUCUAAAAUAGAAGGCGAAGGGUAAUCCUGUGGGACUGGACCCUUAACCUGUGGGGUCUGAUUCUACCCCCAGGUAGCUAGUGUCAGAAUUGAGUUAAAUAUGUUAAACUUCUUAGCCAGUAAGGGAUAUAAAGUGUCUAAAGGAAAGGCACAAAUAUAUAAAGAGAAUGUAAAGUAUUUGGGGUUCAUCAUUUCAAGGGGACAACACAGCCUUCCCCAAGAGAGGAAAAUGGUAAUAUGCCAACUUGUUCCACUGAAAACUCAUAGGCAGCUACGAGAAUCCUUGGGGAUGGCUGGCUUUUGCUGCAUUUGGAUCCCUACCUUUGGAUUGAUUUCUAAGCCUCUCUAUAAUAAACUACAGGGGCCAGAAACAGAUCCCUUUAAAUGGGAUAAGUUAGACACCAUGGUGAUAGGAUGACCCCCAUGCUUGAACGCUGUAGCUGCCACCUGCCUCUUAAUCAAGACAGCAGAAAAACUGGCUAUGGGCCAAACUAUUGAUGGUGUGGACCCCCUAUCAAGUCUCUAGCUUUCUAGAGGCUAAAGGACAUCUAUGGCUAUCUGAGGAUAGAAUACUACAAUACCAAGCUAUGCUGCUAGAUUCCCCUUAGAUUUCUUUAAAACCCUAUUGAUGCGGGCUCGGUGAGCCGAGGAGUUGAAAGAAAGAUUUCUUGGACUCUCAAGGUCUGGCAGUAGUGUUCUUUUAUUCAGAGAAGAUCAUGGAGUAGCAUGGGGACAGGACCCAUAGGCAGUAAGAGCUGCAGGCAUGGGGACAGGACCCAUGGGCAGUGAAGAGCUGCAGGCAUGGGGACAGGACCCAUGGGCAGUUAAGAGCUGCAGGCAUGGGGACAGGACCCAUGGGCAGUAAGAGCUACAAUGUGUUGAGGGUAGGGCUAAAUUUAAGGCAUAGGUAUGUGAGUUUUGUCUUUACAAGACAAAGGAAAGAUCAUGAAAAAAGUUGUUAAAAUGGUAUCAGUGCAGGUGAGGUCUGGUUAUUGGGUGGUCCUAUAACUUUAGAUAAGAAUCAGAUUGGAUUAAGUCAGGAUGUCCUAUGCUUCCUGGAGGAAGAUAUAGAUCAGUAUGUAGGGCGGGACACCUUGGGCUUCUCACUGGGGCAGCCUUCAUCCUCAUCACGUAUCAUACCUUAAAACCAGCUACCCCGCUCCCUGAUUCCAAUGGGCCUAUUACCCAUACUUGCCCAGAAGUGAUGGAUCACGUUUACUCUAGCCACAGAGAUCCCCAGAGGAAACCACAGAAAUUAAACAUGGGCCAGAGAUCCUUAAACUGCUAGAAGAGUUAGAAGGAGUCAUCCCUUGGAUCCACCACACAGAGUAAAAAAGGCGCCCAUGCCUGAACAUCAAGAGAGAUCGUCACAGACAAUUGAUGACUCUGAGUUUUCC